rnacentral:rRNA from 1 species
UACGGUAGGGACCAAGCGUUUGUUCGGAUUUACUGGGCGUAAAGGGCGCGUAGGCGGCGAAUCAAAGUCAGUUGUGAAAUCUCCGAGCUUAACUCGGAACGGUCAACUGAUACUGUUUUGCUAGAGUACAGAAGGGGCAACCGGAAUUCUUGGUGUAGCGGUGAAAUGCGUAGAUAUCAAGAGGGACACCUGAGGUGAAGACGGGGUUGCUGGGCUGAUACUGACGCUGAGGCGCGAAAGCUAGGGUAGCAAACGGG